GACGAACGCUGGCGGCGUGCUUAACACAUGCAAGUCGAACGGAAAGGCCCUGCUUUUGUGGGGUGCUCGAGUGGCGAACGGGUGAGUAACACGUGAGUAACCUGCCCUUGACUUUGGGAUAACUUCAGGAAACUGGGGCUAAUACCGGAUAGGAGCUCCUGCUGCAUGGUGGGGGUUGGAAAGUUUCGGCGGUUGGGGCUGGACUCGCGGCUUAUCAGCUUGUUGGUGGGGUAGUGGCUUACCAAGGCUUUGACGGGUAGCCGGCCUGAGAGGGUGACCGGCCACAUUGGGCCUGAGAUACGGCCCAGACUCCUACGGGAGGCAGCAGUGGGGAAUAUUGCACAAUGGGCGGAAGCCUGAUGCAGCAACGCCGCGUGCGUGAUGACGGCCUUCGGGUUGUAAACCGCUUUCGCCUGUGACGAAGCGUGAGUGACGGUAAUGGGUAAAGAAGCACCGGCUAACUACGUG
rnacentral:rRNA from 1 species